rnacentral:rRNA from 1 species
CAGUCGCCGCGGGAAUACAGAGGGUGCGAGCGUUAAUCGGAUUUACUGGGCGUAAAGCGUGCGUAGGCGGCUUCUUAAGUCGGAUGUGAAAUCCCUGAGCUUAACUUAGGAAUUGCAUUCGAUACUGGGAAGCUAGAGUAUGGGAGAGGAUGGUAGAAUUCCAGGUGUAGCGGUGAAAUGCGUAGAGAUCUGGAGGAAUACCGAUGGCGAAGGCAGCCAUCUGGCCUAAUACUGACGCUGAGGUACGAAAGCAUGGGGAGCAAACAGGAUUAGAUACCCCCGUAGUCCUGUCUCUUAUACA